rnacentral:rRNA from 1 species
GGGUUGUGAGGUUAAGCGACUAAGCGUACACGGUGGAUGCCUAGGCAGUCAGAGGCGAUGAAGGGCGUGCUAAUCUGCGAAAAGCGUCGGUAAGCUGAUAUGAAGCGUUAUAACCGACGAUACCCGAAUGGGGAAACCCAGUGCAAUACGUUGCACUAUCGUUAGAUGAAUACAUAGUCUAACGAGGCGAACCGGGGGAACUGAAACAUCUAAGUACCCCGAGGAAAAGAAAUCAACCGAGAUUCCCCCAGUAGCGGCGAGCGAACGGGGAGGAGCCCAGAGUCUGAAUCAGUUUGUGUGUUAGUGGAAGCGUCUGGAAAGUCGCACGGUACAGGGUGAUAGUCCCGUACACCAAAAUGCACAGGCUGUGAACUCGAUGAGUAGGGCGGGACACGUGACAUCCUGUCUGAAUAUGGGGGGACCAUCCUCCAAGGCUAAAUACUCCUGACUGACCGAUAGUGAACCAGUACCGUGAGGGAAAGGCGAAAAGAACCCCGGCGAGGGGAGUGAAAUAGAACCUGAAACCGUGUACGUACAAGCAGUGGGAGCACCUUCGUGGUGUGACUGCGUACCUUUUGUAUAAUGGGUCAGCGACUUAUAUUUUGUAGCAAGGUUAACCGAAUAGGGGAGCCGUAGGGAAACCGAGUCUUAACUGGGCGUCUAGUUGCAAGGUAUAGACCCGAAACCCGGUGAUCUAGCCAUGGGCAGGUUGAAGGUUGGGUAACACUAACUGGAGGACCGAACCGACUAAUGUUGAAAAAUUAGCGGAUGACUUGUGGCUGGGGGUGAAAGGCCAAUCAAACCGGGAGAUAGCUGGUUCUCCCCGAAAGCUAUUUAGGUAGCGCCUCGUGAACUCAUCUUCGGGGGUAGAGCACUGUUUCGGCUAGGGGGCCAUCCCGGCUUACCAAACCGAUGCAAACUCCGAAUACCGAAGAAUGUUAUCACGGGAGACACACGGCGGGUGCUAACGUCCGUCGUGAAGAGGGAAACAACCCAGACCGCCAGCUAAGGUCCCAAAGUCAUGGUUAAGUGGGAAACGAUGUGGGAAGGCACAGACAGCCAGGAUGUUGGCUUAGAAGCAGCCAUCAUUUAAAGAAAGCGUAAUAGCUCACUGGUCGAGUCGGCCUGCGCGGAAGAUGUAACGGGGCUAAACCAUGCACCGAAGCUGCGGCAGCGACGUUUAGGCGUUGUUGGGUAGGGGAGCGUUCUGUAAGCCGUUGAAGGUGACCUGUGAGGGUUGCUGGAGGUAUCAGAAGUGCGAAUGCUGACAUAAGUAACGAUAAUGCGGGUGAAAAACCCGCACGCCGGAAGACCAAGGGUUCCUGUCCAACGUUAAUCGGGGCAGGGUGAGUCGACCCCUAAGGCGAGGCUGAAAAGCGUAGUCGAUGGGAAACAGGUUAAUAUUCCUGUACUUGGUGUUACUGCGAAGGGGGGACGGAGAAGGCUAGGCUGGCCGGGCGACGGUUGUCCCGGUUUAAGCGUGUAGGGGGAGUGACCAGGUAAAUCCGGUUGCUUAUCAACCCUGAGGCGUGAUGACGAUGCACUACGGUGCAGAAGCAGUUGAUGCCAUGCUUCCAGGAAAAGCCUCUAAGCAUCAGGUAACAUUAAAUCGUACCCCAAACCGACACAGGUGGUCAGGUAGAGAAUACUCAGGCGCUUGAGAGAACUCGGGUGAAGGAACUAGGCAAAAUGGUGCCGUAACUUCGGGAGAAGGCACGCUGGCGUUAGGUGAAAGGACUAGCUCCUGGAGCUGAAGCCAGUCGCAGAUACCAGCUGGCUGCAACUGUUUAAUAAAAACACAGCACUGUGCAAACACGAAAGUGGACGUAUACGGUGUGACGCCUGCCCGGUGCUGGAAGGUUAAUUGAUGGGGUCAGCCGCAAGGCGAAGCUCUUGAUCGAAGCCCCAGUAAACGGCGGCCGUAACUAUAACGGUCCUAAGGUAGCGAAAUUCCUUGUCGGGUAAGUUCCGACCUGCACGAAUGGCGUAAUGAUGGCCAGGCUGUCUCCACCCGAGACUCAGUGAAAUUGAACUCGCUGUGAAGAUGCAGUGUACCCGCGGCAAGACGGAAAGACCCCGUGAACCUUUACUAUAGCUUGACACUGAACAUUGAGCCUUGAUGUGUAGGAUAGGUGGGAGGCAUUGAAGUGUGGACGCCAGUCUGCAUGGAGCCAACCUUGAAAUACCACCCUUUAAUGUUUGAUGUUCUAACUCGGCCCCAUGAUCUGGGGUGAGGACAGUGUCUGGUGGGUAGUUUGACUGGGGCGGUCUCCUCCCAAAGAGUAACGGAGGAGCACGAAGGUUAGCUAAUCACGGUCGGACAUCGUGAGGUUAGUGCAAAGGCAUAAGCUAGCUUGACUGCGAGAGUGACGGCUCGAGCAGGUACGAAAGUAGGUCUUAGUGAUCCGGUGGUUCUGAAUGGAAGGGCCAUCGCUCAACGGAUAAAAGGUACUCCGGGGAUAACAGGCUGAUACCGCCCAAGAGUUCAUAUCGACGGCGGUGUUUGGCACCUCGAUGUCGGCUCAUCACAUCCUGGGGCUGAAGUAGGUCCCAAGGGUAUGGCUGUUCGCCAUUUAAAGUGGUACGCGAGCUGGGUUUAGAACGUCGUGAGACAGUUCGGUCCCUAUCUGCCGUGGGCGUUGGAAGAUUGAGAGGGGCUGCUCCUAGUACGAGAGGACCGGAGUGGACGAAUCACUGGUGUUCGGGUUGUCAUGCCAAUGGCAUUGCCCGGUAGCUAAAUUCGGAAGAGAUAACCGCUGAAAGCAUCUAAGCGGGAAACUUGCCUCGAGAUGAGUCUUCCCUGGGGCUUAAAGCCCCCUGAAGGAACGUUAAAGACUAUGACGUUGAUAGGCUGGGUGUGUAAGUGCAGCGAUGUAUUGAGCUAACCAGUACUAAUGAUCCGUGAGGCUUAACCUUACAACACCGAAGGUGUUU